UCGCUUUUAAGCUUAAAUCCACAUAACAGACACUUCGUGCUCGACUUUGUGCGUAUUUUCGCUAUUAUGUGUUCUUUUAAUUAAAAUGAUUCUUUUUAAAUCUCUAAUAUUUGCUUCGGCAUUUUUGGAGAUUUGUUACUUUGAGUAAAUUAGAGUGUUCAAAGCAAACAGAUAUAGCAUUUGUGCGUUUGAAUACUACAGCAUGGAAUAACAAAAUUGAACAAGUCAAAAUUUUUGUUCUUUUUUCUUAUUUUGGCUUAGUUACGAUUAAUAGGAGUAGCUUGGGGGCAUUUGUAUUCAGAUGUCAGAGGUGAAAUUCUUAGAUUUUCUGGAGACAAACAACUGCGAAAGCAUUUGCCUAAAAUACUUCCAUUAAUCAAGAACGAAAGUUAAGGGAGUGAAGACGAUCAGAUACCGUCGUAAUCUUAACCAUAAACUAUGCCGACUAGGCUUUAGAUUACAGCUCUUUUUUUUUGUUAUGUCCUUUCCCUUCGGGGUUUAGGACUCA
rnacentral:rRNA from 1 species